GAUGAACGCUAGCGGCAGGCCUAACACAUGCAAGUCGAGGGAGAAGCCUUUCGGGGCAGAAACCGGCGCACGGGUGCGUAACGCGUAUGCAACCUACCUUUCACAGGGGGAUAGCCCGAAGAAAUUUGGAUUAAUACCCCAUAAUAUUGUUGGAUGGCAUCAUCUGAUAAUUAAAACUGCGGUGGUGAAAGAUGGGCAUGCGUCCUAUUAGCUAGUUGGAGUGGUAACGGCACCCCAAGGCUACGAUAGGUAGGGGUCCUGAGAGGGAGAUCCCCCACACUGGUACUGAGACAGGGACCAGACUCCUACGGGAGGCAGCAGUGAGGAAUAUUGGUCAAUGGUCGGAAGACUGAACCAGCCAUGCCGCGUGCAGGAAGAAUGCCUUAUGGGUUGUAAACUGCUUUUAGAUGGGAAGAAUAAGGUGUACGUGUACAUUGAUGACGGUACCAUAUGAAUAAGCAUCGGCUAACUCCGUG
rnacentral:rRNA from 1 species